rfam:Salmo salar isolate Sally breed double haploid chromosome ssa17, whole genome shotgun sequence.
GAAAAUAUGCUCUUUUAGUAUUUAUCCAGGAUGUUUUCUGAAAUAGAAAGCAUUU